AUGAACGCUAGCGACAGGCUUAACACAUGCAAGUCGAGGGGCAGCACAGGUAGCAAUACCGGGUGGCGACCGGCGCACGGGUGAGUAACGCGUAUGCAACUUGCCUAUCAGAGGGGGAUAACCCGGCGAAAGUCGGACUAAUACCGCAUGAAGCAGGGGCCCCGCAUGGGGAUAUUUGCUAAAGAUUCAUCGCUGAUAGAUAGGCAUGCGUUCCAUUAGGCAGUUGGCGGGGUAACGGCCCACCAAACCGACGAUGGAUAGGGGUUCUGAGAGGAAGGUCCCCCACAUUGGUACUGAGACACGGACCAAACUCCUACGGGAGGCAGCAGUGAGGAAUAUUGGUCAAUGGCCGAGAGGCUGAACCAGCCAAGUCGCGUGAGGGAUGAAGGUUCUAUGGAUCGUAAACCUCUUUUAUAAGGGAAUAAAGUGCGGGACGUGUCCCGUUUUGUAUGUACCUUAUGAAUAAGGAUCGGCUAACUCCGUGCCAGCAGCCGCGGUAAUACGGAGGAUCCGAGCGUUAUCCGGAUUUAUUGGGUUUAAAGGGUGCGUAGGCGGCCUUUUAAGUCAGCGGUGAAAGUCUGUGGCUCAACCAUAGAAUUGCCGUUGAAACUGGGGGGCUUGAGUAUGUUUGAGGCAGGCGGAAUGCGUGGUGUAGCGGUGAAAUGCAUAGAUAUCACGCAGAACCCCGAUUGCGAAGGCAGCCUGCCAAGCCAUUACUGACGCUGAUGCACGAAAGCGUGGGGAUCAAACAGGAUUAGAUACCCUGGUAGUCCACGCAGUAAACGAUGAUCACUAGCUGUUUGCGAUACACUGUAAGCGGCACAGCGAAAGCGUUAAGUGAUCCACCUGGGGAGUACGCCGGCAACGGUGAAACUCAAAGGAAUUGACGGGGGCCCGCACAAGCGGAGGAACAUGUGGUUUAAUUCGAUGAUACGCGAGGAACCUUACCCGGGUUUGAACGCAUUCGGACCGAGGUGGAAACACCUUUUCUAGCAAUAGCCGUUUGCGAGGUGCUGCAUGGUUGUCGUCAGCUCGUGCCGUGAGGUGUCGGCUUAAGUGCCAUAACGAGCGCAACCCUUGCCACUAGUUACUAACAGGUUAGGCUGAGGACUCUGGUGGGACUGCCAGCGUAAGCUGCGAGGAAGGCGGGGAUGACGUCAAAUCAGCACGGCCCUUACAUCCGGGGCGACACACGUGUUACAAUGGCGUGGACAAAGGGAUGCCACCUGGCGACAGGGAGCGAAUCCCCAAACCACGUCUCAGUUCGGAUCGGAGUCUGCAACCCGACUCCGUGAAGCUGGAUUCGCUAGUAAUCGCGCAUCAGCCAUGGCGCGGUGAAUACGUUCCCGGGCCUUGUACACACCGCCCGUCACACCAUGAGAGUCGGGAACACCCGAAGUCCGUAGUCUAACCCGCAAGGGAGGGCGCGGCCGAAGGUGGGUCUGAUAAUUGGGGUG
rnacentral:rRNA from 1 species